rnacentral:rRNA from 1 species
GACGAACCGUGCGAACGUUGUUCGGAUUCACUGGGCUUAAAGGGCGCGUAGGCGGAUUGUCAAGUCAGGGGUGAAAGCCUCCAGCUUAACUGGAGAAGUGCCUUUGAUACUGAUGAUCUCGAGGGAGGUAGGGGCAUGUGGAACUUCCGGUGGAGCGGUGAAAUGCGUAGAUAUCGGAGGGAACGCCGGUGGCGAAAGCGACGUGCUGGACCUCUUCUGACGCUGAGGCGCGAAAGCGUGGGGAGCGAACGGG